rnacentral:snRNA from 1 species
AUACCUUUCUCGGCCUUUUGGCUAAGAUCAAGUGUAGUAUCUGUUCUUAUCAGUUUAAUAUCUGAUAUGUGGGCCAUCGGCCCACUCGAUAUUAAUCUUAUUUUUUAUGGGGAAAGACCCAUCACAAUAGCUUGCUAUUGGGGUGUUUGAGCGUUGCCUUGGCGUUGCACUACUGCCUUGGCCUGGCGCACCCCUC